CCUGGGCCCUUUUUCUUCCUCGGCGGCGCCGCGUGUCCUCGUAGCGCGGUCUCUGUGUUGGUCUCCUGCUCCUAGAGUGCCCGCCCCUCCCCGUGGCUGGCACUCUGGACUUUCCCCAGGUCGCGCUCGCGCCCAGCUCCCUUCGGGAGAACUCGGAGAACUAUCUUCCCGCCGCCCUGACUCUCCUUCCCCCACUUCCUGCCUGGGCCCAGCGCGCGGGCCACGGGGCCGCACCUGCAGGCACGCGUUUCCCAUUGGUGACAUCUUGGCGGGCCCGGCGGUGGCACUUCCUCCUCUACACCCCGUGACCCACGUCCGGCUGCCGGUCUUGAAUCACGAGGCCUCCGCUUCCCGGACUCCGGACCCCGCGCCGCCUCGGGGCCGACGGCCCGUCCCUGGCGUGGUUGAGAACAAAAAGAUGCACCUGGACUUUCCCCGGAGCACUCUGCGUGGUUGA
rnacentral:lncRNA from 1 species